rnacentral:rRNA from 1 species
GAUGGACGCUAGCGAUAGGCUUAACACAUGCAAGUCGAGGGACCGGCGCACGGGUGCGUAACGCGUAUGCAACUUGCCUCACAGAGGGGGAUAACCCGUCGAAAGACGGACUAAUCCAGCGUACUGUGAGAUCGGCAUGCGUCCCAUUAGCUAGUUGGUGAGGUAACGGCUCACCAAGGCAACGAUGGGUAGGGGAACUGAGAGGUUGAACCCCCGCACUGGUACUGAGACACGGACCAGAAGAGUACGGGAGGCAGCAGUGAAGAGUAGUGGUCAAUGGGCGAGAGCCUGAACCAGCCAAGGCGCGUGAAGGAUGACUGUCUAUGGAUUGUAAACUUCUUUUGUAGUGUAAUAUGUACCCUACGAAUAAGCAUCGGCUAACUCCGUGCCAGCAGCCGCGGUAAUAC